UGGGGAAUAUUGGACAAUGGGCGAAAGCCUGAUCCAGCCAUGCCGCGUGUGUGAAGAAGGUCUUCGGAUUGUAAAGCACUUUAAGUUGGGAGGAAGGGCAGUAAGCUAAUACCUUGCUGUUUUGACGUUACCGACAGAAUAAGCACCGGCUAACUCUGUGCCAGCAGCCGCGGUAAUACAGAGGGUGCAAGCGUUAAUCGGAAUUACUGGGCGUAAAGCGCGCGUAGGUGGUUUGUUAAGUUGGAUGUGAAAGCCCCGGGCUCAACCUGGGAACUGCAUCCAAAACUGGCAAGCUAGAGUACGGUAGAGGGUGGUGGAAUUUCCUGUGUAGCGGUGAAAUGCGUAGAUAUAGGAAGGAACACCAGUGGCGAAGGCGACCACCUGGACUGAUACUGACACUGAGGUGCGAAAGCGUGGGGGGAGCAAACAGGAUUAGAUACCC
rnacentral:rRNA from 1 species